rnacentral:lncRNA from 1 species
UUGGUCAUCCUGUAGAUGUGAGCCAAGAUUUAAUACCUGGCUUGAAAUUCAUGACUCCUGCUUAUGGACAGUGUCCUCCCUUCCUUAUAGCUUUUACUUAUUACUUUUUUUAGUAAAUGUAUUAUAGUGGAAGGAAUUACCAUGACAGCUGAGGAUAAAAGUGUCCUUGACAUGCUCCUACUGACUGUGGGGAAGAUGAAUAGCGGUGGCUGGUGGCUGUCAGUGUUAUCACUUGGUGCCAGGUGAUACAGUAGUAGGUGAUACGUAACAGGUCUUUCCAACAUAUUUCUUCCUGCAUGAGUAGGAAUGUAAGUAAAUGAAGCAAUUCACAGUAAUUUGGACAUAAAGGAUUCUCUGAGGGAAGGUGAGGACCUCCACUGAACUGGCCCCUGCCUCUUGCUUCCCAUAGCACAUCCAUACCCUGCUCCCAGCGCCAUGGAUUUGUGCCCGAGACCACAGCAGUUCUCAUGUACAUCAGGUCAGGAAUUUCCUGAGCUAGAAAACGUAUCCGUGACUUUGGAAAGUGGGCCGUGUGCCCCAGACAAGUGGUUUGUGAUGUGAUUGUCCCAUUCAUUGAGCUGGCACCAAUUUGAGCAUUUUGAUCAAUGUAGAUUCUUGCCUCAAACUAGAGUGCUUAUUUGAG